rnacentral:rRNA from 1 species
UGGCCAUGUUGGUUAACAGAUCCUCAUUUGCUGGAUAAUUGGCGAUGAUCUUUAUCGGUUGUCGUCAGUUGCCAGAACGUUUACUUUGAGAAAAUUAGAGUGCUAAAAGCAGGCUCACGCCCUAUAUAUAUUGCAUGGAAUAAUGAAAUAAGAUCUCGAUUUUAUUUCGUUGGUUUUAGAAAUUGAGAUAAUGAUUAAUAGGAUCAGAGGGGGGCGUACGUACUGUGGUGUGAGAGGUGAAAUUCUUGGAUCGCCACAGGACGAACAGCAGCGAAGGCGUUCGCCCAAGAAUGUUUUCAUUAAUCAAGAACGAAAGUUUGAGGUUCGAAGACGAUUAGAUACCGUCCUAGUUCAAACCAUAAACGUUGCCAACUGUCUUUUAGAUGCGGUUAUUUAUAUGACUCAUCUGGCGGAUCUCGAGAAAUCUAAGUUUUUAGGUUCCGGGGGAAGUAUGGUUGCAAAGCUGAAACUUAAAAGAAUUGACGGAAGGACACACAAGAAGUGGAGCCUGUGGCCUAAUUUGACUCAACACGGGAAACCUUACUCGGCCAGGACACUUUUUAGGAUUGACAGAUUGAGAGCUCUUUCUUGAUUAGGUGGGGUGGUGGGUGCAUGGUCGUUCGUAGUUCGUGGAGCGAUUUGUCUGAUUAAUUUCGAUAACGAACGAGACUCCGGCUUACUAAAUAGUCUAAAGUUCGAAGGGACUUUUCAAGACUUCUUAGCAGGAUAAAUGCG